CCUACGGGAGGCAGCAGUGAGGAAUAUUGGUCAAUGGCCGGAAGGCUGAACCAGCCAUGCCGCGUGAAGGUCAGUGCCCUAUGGGCGUUAAACUUCUUUUGUGCGGGAGCAAUAAUGGUCACGUGUGGCCAGACGAGAGUACCGUACGAAUAAGCAUCGGCUAACUCCGUGCCAGCAGCCGCGGUAAUACGGGGGAUGCAAGCGUUAUCCGGAUUUAUUGGGUUUAAAGGGUGCGUAGGCUGGGAGGUAAGUCAGCGGUGAAAUGCCCCGGCUCAACGGGGUGAAGUGCCAUUGAUACUGCCUGGCUGGAAUGCGGAUGCGGUGGGAGGAAUGUGUGGUGUAGCGGUGAAAUGCAUAGAUAUCACACAGAACACCGAUUGCGAAGGCAUCUCACGAAUCCGCGAUUGACGCUGAUGCACGAAAGCGUGGGUAUCAAACAGGAUUAGAUACCCGUGUAGUC
rnacentral:rRNA from 1 species